rnacentral:rRNA from 1 species
UGGGGAAUAUUGCACAAUGGGGGGAACCCUGAUGCAGCGACGCCGCGUGAGUGAAGAAGUAUUUCGGUAUGUAAAGCUCUGUCAGCAGGGAAGAAAGAGACGGUACCUGACCAAGAAGCCCCGGCUAACUACGUGCCAGCAGCCGCGGUAAUACGUAGGGGGCAAGCGUUAUCCGGAUUUACUGGGUGUAAAGGGAGCGUAGACGGCAAUGCAAGUCUGGAGUGAAAGCCCGCGGCCCAACUGCGGGACUGCUCUGGAAACUGUAAUGCUUGAGUGCAGGAGGGGUAAGCGGAAUUCCUGGUG